GACGAACGCUGGCGGCGUGCUUAACACAUGCAAGUCGAACGAAGUGGCGAACGGGUGAGUAACGCGUAAUCAACCUGCCCUUCAGCGGGGGACAACAGUUGGAAACGACUGCUAAUACCGCAUACUGAAGGGGGGGAUUGCGUGUGAUUAGCUAGUUGGGGGGGUAACGGCCCACCAAGGCGAUGGACAGUAGCCGGGCUGGGAGGAGGAACAGGCACAUUGGGACUGGGGCAAGGCCCAGACUCCUACGGGAGGCAGCCGUGGGGAAUCUUUCGGAAUGGACGAAAGUCUGGCGGGGCAACGCCGCGUGAGUGAUGACAGCCUUCGGGUUGUAAAGCUCUGUUAAUCGGGACGCGGUACCGGAAUAGAAAGCCACGGCUAACUACGUGCCAGCAGCCGCGGUAAUAC
rnacentral:rRNA from 1 species